rnacentral:rRNA from 1 species
AUUGAACGCUGGCGGCAGGCCUAACACAUGCAAGUCGAGCGGAUGAAGGGAGCUUGCUCCUGGAUUCAGCGGCGGACGGGUGAGUAAUGCCUAGGAAUCUGCCUGGUAGUGGGGGAUAACGUCCGGAAACGGGCGCUAAUACCGCAUACGUCCUGAGGGAGAAAGUGGGGGAUCUUCGGACCUCACGCUAUCAGAUGAGCCUAGGUCGGAUUAGCUAGUUGGUGGGGUAAAGGCCUACCAAGGCGACGAUCCGUAGCUGGUCUGAGAGGAUGAUCAGUCACACUGGAACUGAGACACGGUCCAGACUCCUACGGGAGGCAGCAGUGGGGAAUAUUGGACAAUGGGCGCAAGCCUGAUCCAGCCAUGCCGCGUGUGUGAAGAAGGUCUUCGGAUUGUAAAGCCCUUUAAGUUGGGAGGAAGGGCAGUAAGUUAAUACCUUGCUGUUUUGACGUUACCAACAGAAUAAGCACCGGCUAACUUCGUG